UAAGGAACGUUUCCUUUAGUGUCCGUCAUCAGUAGAUCCAUGUGUUCAUGUUCAGAGUGACUUUAUGUGUUUCAUUCACUGUGAUUCACUACAGCAGGAUUCACCACAGUCACUGACACCUGCAGAAUAACAACAGCCACAUAUGAGAUUGUGUUUCAAAGCACUUUAAUACACAGCAGUCAAACACAACUAACAUGAAGACUAAAACAGUGUUUGUGUUUGAAUCUGAAUCAUUUCUCCAUGAAUUAAAUGUGUAAAGGACACAGUCAGCUGAGCUCCAGUGAGUGUUUCACUUCUGUUUGUGUCUCUUCACAGACUGAGGAGGUUUUUGUACGACUGAACAUAUGAAAUGUAUCACUGUGAUAUUUGGACAAGGAACAAAACUCAUUGUGACUGAUGCUGCUGCUGCUGCUCCUGUGCUGAACAUCCUCCGUCCAUCCAGAGAAGAGCUGAGCUCCAGUAAAGUCACUCUGGUGUGUCUGAUCAAUCACAUGUCUGGGGCUUUGGCUGAUGUGCGUUGGCUUGUGAACGGGAACUCAGUUACUGAAGGCGUCUUCACUGGAUCUGCUGAACAGCAGCCUGAUAAGAAAUUCAAGAUGAGCAGUUCUUUAACCAUUGAGAGAUCAGAGUGGGACAAAGACACACAGCUGACAUGUGAAGCAACUACUGCCUCAAAAACCACCAGCAAAAGCAUCAAGAAAUCUGACUGCAGCGACUGAACACAAAGAAUUUAAAGAGUUGUUUGAUUGUUUUAUGAUAACACAUAGUAUUAUUUCCUGGCAUGGUGUAAUAGGAAUCAUGAAACUAUUCAAAUUAGUCAAACAAUGCAACUUAGUAGCUUGAACUGUGUCAUUUUCUGCAGAAAAUAUUUUGGAUUUAAUGCUAAUGUAUGAUAAUUUACAACCUGUUUAAUAAACUGCAUUUAAAAAAACA